rnacentral:rRNA from 1 species
UACGUAGGGUCCGAGCGUUUGUCCGGAAUUACUGGGCGUAAAGAGCUCGUAGGUGGUUUGUCGCGUUGUUCGUGAAAACUCACAGCUCAACUGUGGGCGUGCGGGCGAUACGGGCAGACUAGAGUACUGCAGGGGGAGACUGGAAUUCCUGGUGUAGCGGUGGAAUGCGCAGAUAUCAGGAGGAACACCGGUGGCGAAGGCGGGUCUCUGGGCCGAGACUGACGCUGAGGCGCGAAAAGCGUGGGGGAGCAAACAGG